rfam:Myotis davidii contig173261, whole genome shotgun sequence.
GGCAGUUCUUGGGUGAUGCACCCUGGAAUUGGGCUCCCUCCUCUUUGGUUCCAGAGUCCAUCACCCAAGAACCACU